rnacentral:rRNA from 1 species
AAAACAUGCCUACGGGAGGCAGCAGUGGGGAAUAUUGGACAAUGGGGGAAACCCUGAUCCAGCAAUGCCGCGUGAGCGAUGAAGGCCUUAGGGUUGUAAAGCUCUUUUACCCGGGAUGAUAAUGACAGUACCGGGAGAAUAAGCCUCGGCUAACUCCGUGCCAGCAGCCGCGGUAAUACGGAGGGGGCUAGCGUUGUUCGGAAUUACUGGGCGUAAAGCGCACGUAGGCGGCUAUUCAAGUCAGGGGUGAAAGCCCGGGGCUCAACCCCGGAAUUGCCCUUGAAACCAGAUAGCUAGAAUCUGGGAGAGGUGAGUGGAAUUCCGAGUGUAGAGGUGAAAU